rnacentral:rRNA from 1 species
AUUGAACGCUGGCGGCAUGCUUUACACAUGCAAGUCGAACGGUAACAGGCCGCAAGGUGCUGACGAGUGGCGCACGGGUGAGUAAUGCAUCGGAACGUGCCCAGUCGUGGGGGAUAACUACUCGAAAGAGUAGCUAAUACCGCAUACGAUCUAUGGAUGACAGCGGGGGACCGUAAGGCCUCGCGCGAUUGGAGCGGCCGAUGUCAGAUUAGGUAGUUGGUGGGGUAAAGGCUCACCAAGCCAACGAUCUGUAGCUGGUCUGAGAGGACGACCAGCCACACUGGGACUGAGACACGGCCCAGACUCCUACGGGAGGCAGCAGUGGGGAAUUUUGGACAAUGGGCGCAAGCCUGAUCCAGCAAUGCCGCGUGCAGGAAGAAGGCCUUCGGGUUGUAAACUGCUUUUGUACGGAACGAAACGGCUCUGGUUAAUACCCGGGGCUAAUGACGGUACCGGAAGAAUAAGCACCGGCUAACUACGUG